AACGAACGCUGGCGGCAUGCCUAACACAUGCAAGUCGAACGAGACCUUCGGGUCUAGUGGCGCACGGGUGCGUAACGCGUGGGAACCUGCCUUUAGGUUCGGAAUAACUCAGAGAAAUUUGAGCUAAUACCGGAUGAUGUCUUCGGACCAAAGAUUUAUCGCCUUUAGAUGGGCCCGCGUUGGAUUAGCUAGUUGGUGGGGUAAAGGCCUACCAAGGCGACGAUCCAUAGCUGGUCUGAGAGGAUGAUCAGCCACACUGGGACUGAGACACGGCCCAGACUCCGACGGGAGGCAGCAGUGGGGAAUAUUGGACAAUGGGCGAAAGCCUGAUCCAGCAAUGCCGCGUGAGUGAUGAAGGCCUUAGGGUUGUAAAGCUCUUUUACCCGAGAUGAUAAUGACAGUAUCGGGAGAAUAAGCUCCGGCUAACUCCGUG
rnacentral:rRNA from 1 species